rnacentral:rRNA from 1 species
AUUGCCCUAGUAACGGCGAGUGAAGCGGCAACAGCUCAAAUUUGAAAUCUGGCUUCGGCCCGAGUUGUAAUUUGUAGAGGAUGCUUUUGGUGCGGUGCCUUCUGAGUUCCCUGGAACGGGACGCCACAGAGGGUGAGAGCCCCGUAUAGUCGGACACCAAGCCUCUGUAAAGCUCCUUCGACGAGUCGAGUAGUUUGGGAAUGCUGCUCAAAAUGGGAGGUAAAUGCCUUCUAAAGCUAAAUACUGGCCAGAGACCGAUAGCGCACAAGUAGAGUGAUCGAAAGAUGAAAAGCACUUUGAAAAGAGGGUUAAACAGCACGUGAAAUUGUUGAAAGGGAAGCGCUUGUGACCAGACUUGCGCCAGGUGGAUCAUCCAGCGUUCUCGCUGGUGCACUCUGCCUGGUUCAGGCCAGCAUCGGUUUUCUCAGUGGGAUAAAGGCUCUGGGAAUGUAGCUCCUCCGGGAGUGUUAUAGCCCGUUGCACAAUACCUCUGAGGGGACCGAGGUUCGCGCUCUGCAAGGAUGCUGGCGUAAUGGUCAUCAGCGGCCCGUCUUGAAACACGGACCAAGGAGUCAAGCAUUAGGGCGAGUGUUUGGGUGCAAAACCCGCACGCGUAAUGAAAGUGAACGUAGGUGAGAGCUUCGGCGCAUCAUCGACCGAUCCUGAUGUAUUCGGAUGGAUUUGAGUAAGAGCCUUACCGCUUGGACCCGAAAGAUGGUGAACUAUGCUUGUAUAGGGUGAAGCCAGAGGAAACUCUGGUGGAGGCUCGCAGCGGUUCUGACGUGCAAAUCGAUCGUCAAAUAUGAGCAUGGGGGCGAAAGACUAACGAA